rnacentral:lncRNA from 1 species
GCCCUUCUAAGAAAUUCAUCAAACCUUUAACCUUGUACACACCACAUUAAACAUGUCGAAGAUAAUUAACGAUAAAUACUUGUAAAUUAACAAACAUCAUUUUAUUACAUAGAACUGAAAAUAUUAGUACAUAGAUCACAAUCCAACAUUCGACCUCUCUAAACGGCUCUCUAGUUGAAGAUUAGACACAGACACCAUUUGAUACAACUAAAAGACGCAUUACAGCAAAUUAAACACAACAGUUGAAUCUGUCCCGAUUACUAUGGCGACGGAUUUCAACCUACAGUACUGUAGUAUUAAUAUCGGACCUCAGCGACGAUGGUCGCGAAAAUAGGCAGCAGGGUUAUCCUCAAAGUCUUUUCUACGAAUAUAUGUAUCUUUUUUUCCUGGUGCUUUCAUCAUCUUCUCCGGUGGUGGCUUUGCCGCCGGGCUGGCUAGAUUCCAUAAGCCACGCGCCAACGCCACCACUCCGGCGGCUGCUGCCACCGCAGCCAUAGUAGAUAUUCCUUUANCCCACUAUGCUCAUGAUUGACCUCACCAUUUCUUAAAGUCUGGGGACAUUCCGUUAGGCCGAACCGGUUCUCU